rnacentral:rRNA from 1 species
CCUACGAGGUGCAGCAGUGGGGGAUAUUGCACAAUGGGGGAAACCCUGAUGCAGCGACGCCGCGUGUGGGAAGACGGUCCUCUGGAUUGUAAACCACUGUCCCCAGGGACGAAGAUGACGGUACCUGGGGAGGAAGCUCCGGCUAACUACAUGCCAGCAGCCGCGGUAAUACGUAGGGAGCGAGCGGUGUCGGGAAUUACUUGGUGUAAAGGGAGCGUAGGCGGGGAUGCAAGUUGGGUGUCAACACUACCGGCUCAACUGGUAGUCGCACUCAAAACUGCAGCUGUUGAGUGACGUAGAGGCAGGCGGAAUUCCUAGCGUAGCGGUGAAAUGCGUAGAUAGUAGGAGGAACACCAGUGGCGAAGGCGGCCUGCUGGGCUUUUACUGACGCUGAGGCUCGAAAGUGCGGGGAGCAAACAGGAUUAGAUACCCUGGUAGUC